UACGGAGGAUGCAAGCGUUAUCCGGAAUCAUUGGGUUUAAAGGGUCCGUAGGUGGAUUAAUAAGUCAGAGGUGAAAGCCUGCAGCUUAACUGUAGAACUGCCUUUGAUACUGUUAAUCUUGAAUUAUUGUGAAGUAGUUAGAAUAUGUAGUGUAGCGGUGAAAUGCAUAGAUAUUACAUAGAAUACCGAUUGCGAAGGCAGAUUACUAACAAUAUAUUGACACUGAUGGACGAAAGCGUGGGGAGCGAACAGG
rnacentral:rRNA from 1 species